rnacentral:rRNA from 1 species
AGAGUUUGAUCAUGGCUCAGGACGAACGCUGGCGGCGUGCUUAACACAUGCAAGUCGAGCGGAAAGGCCCCUUCGGGGGUACUCGAGCGGCGAACGGGUGAGUAACACGUGAGUAACCUGCCCUCGACUCUGGGAUAAGCCUGGGAAACUGGGUCUAAUACCGGAUAUUCACCUCCUGUCGCAUGGUGGGGGGUGGAAAGUUCCCUCUUUUGGGGGUUCGGUCGGGGAUGGGCUCGCGGCCUAUCAGCUUGUUGGUGGGGUGACGGCCUACCAAGGCGACGACGGGUAGCCGGCCUGAGAGGGCGACCGGCCACACUGGGACUGAGACACGGCCCAGACUCCUACGGGAGGCAGCAGUGGGGAAUCUUGCGCAAUGGGCGAAAGCCUGACGCAGCGACGCCGCGUGGGGGAUGAAGGCCUUCGGGUUGUAAACCCCUUUCAGCACCGACGAAGUUUGGACGGUAGGUGCAGAAGAAGCGCCGGCUAACUACGUGCCAGCAGCCGCGGUAAUACGUAGGGCGCGAGCGUUGUCCGGAAUUAUUGGGCGUAAAGAGCUCGUAGGCGGCUUGUCGCGUCUGUCGUGAAAGCCCACGGCUUCACCGUGGGUUUGCGGUGGAUACGGGCAGGCUAGAGGCAGGUAGGGGAGCAUGGAAUUCCCGGUGUAGC